GCCCGAGUUGUAAUUUGCAGAGGAUGCUUCUGGCGCGGUGCCUUCCGAGUUCCCUGGAACGGGACGCCACAGAGGGUGAGAGCCCCGUAUGGUCGGACACCAAGCCUGUGUGAAGCUCCUUCGACGAGUCGAGUAGUUUGGGAAUGCUGCUCUAAAUGGGAGGUAAAUCUCUUCUAAAGCUAAAUACCGGCCAGAGACCGAUAGCGCACAAGUAGAGUGAUCGAAAGAUGAAAAGCACCUUGAAAAGGGGGUUAAAUAGUACGUGAAAUUGUUGAAAGGGAAGCACUUAUGACCAGACUUGGGCCGGGCGGCUCAUCAGGGGUUCUCCCCUGUGCACUCCGCCCGGCACAGGCCAGCAUCGGUUCUCGUGGGGGGAUAAGACCGUCAGGAACGUAGCACCCUCCGGGGUGUGUUAUAGCCUGGCGGACGAUACCCCCGUGGGGACCGAGGUCCGCGCUCCGCAAGGAUGCUGGCGUAAUGGUCAUCAGUGACCCGUCUUGAAACACGGACCAAGGAGUCGUCCAUUAGAGCGAGCGUUUGGGUGUAAAACCCGCACGCGUAAUGAAAGUGAACGCAGGUGAGAGCUUCGGCGCAUCAUCGACCGAUCCUGAUGUUCUCGGAAGGAUUUGAGUAAGAGUUUUAACGGACGGACCCGAAAGACAGUGAACUAUGCUUGUAUAGGGUGAAGCCAGAGGAAACUCUGGUGGAGGCUCGCAGCGGUUCUGACGUGCAAAUCGAUCGUCAAAUAUGAGCAUGGGGGCGAAAGACUAAUCGAACUGUCUAGUAGCUGGUUACCGCCGAAGUUUCCCUCAGGAUAGCAGUGUUGAUCUUCAGUUUUAUGAGGUAAAGCGAAUGAUUAGGGACUCGGGGGCUAUAUAUUGCCUUCAUCCAUUCUCAAACUUUAAAUAUGUAAGAAGCCCUUGUUACUUAGUUGAACGUGGGCAUUCGAAUGUACCAACACUAGUGGGCCAUUUUUGGUAAGCAGAACUGGCGAUGCGGGAUGAACCGAACGCGGGGUUAAGGCGCCAGAGUGUACGCUCAUCAGACACCACAAAAGGCGUUAGUACAUCUUGACAGCAGGACGGUGGCCAUGGAAGUCGGAAUCCGCUAAGGACUGUGUAACAACUCACCUGCCGAAUGUACUAGCCCUGAAAANGGAUGGCGCUCAAGCGUACCGCCCAUACCCCGCCCCCAGGGUGGAAACGAUGCCCUGGGGAGUAGGCGGCCGUGGGGGUCAG
rnacentral:rRNA from 1 species